AUGGCUCUUUGAAAACAUAUAAUAAAGAGUCUAGCCUGCCCAGUGGUUAAUUUAACGGCCGCGGUACUCUGACCGUGCGAAGGUAGCAUAAUCAUUUGUCUUAUAAUUGAAGUCUGGAAUGAAUGGUUUAACAAGAGCGAAACUGUCUCUAUUAAUAGGAUAAAAUUUUAUGAUUAAGUUAAAAAGCUUAAAUAUAAUUAAAAGACGAGAAGACCCUAUCGAGUUUAAGGAAAAUAAUUAAAAUUUUUAACAUUGAUGAAUACUAAAUAUUUAAUAAAACUUUAGUUGGGGCGAUUCAGGAACAAAUAAAGCUUCUUGUAAUUAAAAUUUAUUGGUAAAUAUAUGAUCCAUAAUUUGUGAUUAAAAGAAUUAAUUACCGUAGGGAUAACAGCAUUAUCUUUUUUGAGAGCUCAAAUCGAAAAAAAUGUUUGUGACCUCGAUGUUGGACCAAGAUAACCUGAAGAUGUAGAAGUCUUUAAAGGUUGGUCUGUUCGACCAUUAAAAUCUUACGUGAUCUGAGUUCAGACCGG
rnacentral:rRNA from 1 species